CGCCAAUGUGGAAGGGCAAUUAGGGCUUCAAGGGUUAGGUCAUGGAUUUCUUCCUUGUUCUUGUUGAUUGAAGGUCAGAGAAGUCCCUGGUGUGCAGAAUCUAAUCGAGCAACACCUUUUGGAGACAAUCGAUUGAGGGCAAAGACUAGAGGGGUUGAUGCUUGAUCAGUAGUCUUAUUGCUUGAUUCCUUCUUGAUCCGAAUUGUGGAGUGGAAUCAAGCACCUUGCUGUUCUGUUUAUGGUGUACCUUGUUUCCAUAGCUACUCAUCUCACGUCCGGCAGCAACCUAUCCAGUGAGGUGAAUCCAGUGAGGAUUUGUGAAGGUAAUUUUGGUGUCCAGCAGCAUUUCUAGUUUUGGCAGCAACCUCAUUUAGCAGAUUGCUUGGUUUCAGCAAUCUACAGCAGCUUGAUCAAGGUAAGGUGUAUAGGUUUUGUUCUUUGUUUUAGAUAUGAUUUGAUUUCAUGAACAGAUGUAGAUUGGAAUUAGGGUUAUACUUAGUUGUUUAUGUGUAGAAUUAUUU